rnacentral:tRNA from 1 species
UGGCUCAGUGGGUAAAGCGUCUGCCUCCAGUGCAGGAGACCCAGGUUCGAUCCCUGG